rnacentral:rRNA from 1 species
AAAGUUCGAUCCUGGCUCAGGAUAAACAUUGGCAGCAUGCUUAACACAUGUAAGUCAGAUGGGAAACACGAGAAAUGGUGUUUCCAGUGGUGGACGGGUGAGUAACGCGCAAGAACCUGCCCUUGGGAGGGGAACAAAAGCUAAAAACGGCUGCUAAUACCCCGUAGGCUGAGGAGCAAAAGGAGGAAUCCACCCGAGGAAGGGCUCGCAUCUGAUUAGCUAGUUGGUAAGGCAAUAGCUUACUAAGGAGAUGAUCAGUAGCUGUUCCNACUGAGACACGGCCCAGACUCCUAUAGGAGGCAGCAGUGGGGAAUUUUUCGUAAUGGGUGAAAGCCUGAUGGAGCAAUGCCAUGUGGAGGUAGAAGGACCAUGGGUCAUGAACUUCUUUUCCCAAAGAAGAAGCAAUAACGGUAUCUAGGGAAUAAGCAUUGGCUAACUCUGUACCAGUAGCCACGGUAAUAUAGAGGAUGCAAGCAUUAUCUAGAAUGAUUGGGCAUAAAGUGUCUGUAGGUGGCUUUUUAAGUCCGCCGUCAAAUCCCAGGGCUCAACCCUGGACAGGCGAUGGAAACUACCAAGCUGGAGUACGGUAGGGGCAGAUGGAAUUUCCGAUGGAUUGGUGAAAUACGUAGAGACCGGAAAGAACACCAACUGCAAGACCGACACUGACACUGAGAGACGAAAUCUAGGAGAGCAAAUAGGAUUAGAUACUCCAGUAGUCCUAGCCGUAAACGAUGGAUACUAGGAGCUGUGCGUAUCGACCCGUGUAGUGUUGUAGCUAACAUAUUAAGUAUACUGCCUGGGGAGUACGUUCGCAAGAAUAAAACUCAAAUGAAUUGAGGGGGCCCGUACAAACGGUGGAGCAUGUGGUUUAAUUUGAUGCAAAGCAAAGAACCUUACCAGGGCUUGACAUGCCGCAAAUCCUCUUGAAAGAGAGGGGUGCCUUCGGGAACACGGACACAGGUGGUGUAUGGCUGUCAUCAGCUCGUGUUGUAAGGUGUUGGGUGAAGUCCCCCAACGAUCGUAACCCUCAUAUUUAGUUGUCAUUGUUGAGUUUGGAACCCUGAACAGACUGCCGGUGAUCAGCCGGAGAAAGGUGAGGAUGACAUCAAGUCAUCAUGCCCCUUAUGCCCUGGGCGACACACGUGCUACAAUGGCCGAAACAAAAGGUCGCGAUCCUGCGAGGGUGAGGUAACCACAAAAACCCAUCUUCAGUUUGGAUUAUAGGCUGCAACUCGCCUGCAUAAAGCCGAAAUUGCUAUUAAUCACCAAUCAUCCAUACGGCGGUGAAUUCAUUCCCGGGCCUUAUACACAUCGCCCGUCAUACUAUGGGAGCUGGCCAUGCCCGAAGUCGUUACCUUAAUCGUAAGAAGGGGGAUGUCGAAGGUAGGGCUAGUGACUGGAGUGAAGUUAUAACAAUGUAGUCGUACUAGAAGGUGGGCUG